GCUCCAUGUAAACUUCAGGAAUGAAAGAAGUUGGAAGAGGAAACAUUAGGAAUUUCCUUUCAAACUCCAAUCAAAACAGCCCAUUUGAAUAUUUUUUUAAAGUCAGUAUUACUUCAUUCAUGGGUUAAAAAUAGACCAAUACUACUGAUAACCAAAAUUUUAAAACUGUACCUAAAAAUAAUUCUAUCUUAUUGUGAAUAUAUUUGAAAUUCAACUGGGCUUGCAUUUCUGCCAUCAAACAUAUAGCCCAAAUGUCUUAGUACAACCAAUUUUUUAAGUAAUAAUAUUUAAAGAAA
rnacentral:lncRNA from 1 species